AGUCCAACCAGACAAAUGCUUAAGAGACAAAAUUUUCUCUCUCCACUAUGACAACACACCAACAACAACAAACAUACUCAUUCACUUCUCUACUCUACAACGAAUGGCCGCCAUUGAAAUUUUAUUCCCCUUCUCUUGAUUUUAUAUUUUUAUUCGACAUUCGUUUUUCCCGUCAUUCACUCACGUAUGGUGAAGAAUACGAAUAAUCCAACUGCAUUCGAGUUCGAAUUUGAGGUUCGAGUUCGAAAUUCGAGUUUGUUUCGUCGUCUCGCCGUGUCGUCGUUGUUUUCGGUCGAAGAGAAUUCCAAGAGCGCACAACAAACCAGACCGAGUAGAGCUAUUGUUAACGUAGGGUCGUGUUUCGCGUCGUAUUUCUGUGUAUAAAAAUAUUCUCGGAAAUUUAACAAAAUAUUUUCGGAUUUACACGAGCAGGAUAAAAAUUACUCGUUUAAAUACGCGUGAAGGUAAAUGUCAAAUCAACUCGCAAAAUACAAAAGAGAUUCUCUAUUCAAAAAUACAAACUGGCUAAAUCAUCGUCCGUACACCUACAGUUCCGAGUGUAGAGAAAUUCAUUAUUUCCUUCCUUUUUCCGGUACUUAAAGGGGGAAACAAAAUAAUCAACGCCGCCCGUCCGGCCCUGGCCUCCCCCCCACACCAACAAAAAAAAAUAAUAAAAAAAAAACGCCUCUUACCACCUUUACACCAUAAUAUAAUCGUAUUGGAUUAAUUAAUCAUCAAAAGGAUUUAAGUGCUAAUUACACCCGUUCUGUGUGUGCGGCGCUGUGUCUGUUUCUGUUUCAUGUGUCAGCCAUUUGUAUAUUUAUAAUUUCCGUGGCUAGUGCAAUCACAGUGUUAAUUUGAAUACAAAACAACUAAGUGGUUAAUUGUAUUAAGAAAUUAUUAAGAGAGAAAAAAAGAAAAAUAAUGUCGUGUUCAUAAUUAUUUUAUCGUAAUUAAUUUACUUCCUGUGGCCAUUUUUAUAAAAUAGUGGAUAUAUACCUUUAAAUCCAGUGCUGUCAGAUGACCAAUGCAAUAUUAUUUAUCUGUGUCCCCUCGAUCUUAUAUGACAUAAGCUUUCACUUAUCGCGUGUCAUAAGUUGUAUGUUUUGUGUUUCUUAGUGCAAGAAGAAAAAAAAUUAAGUUAAAAAUACAAAUAAUUAUUAUUAUGUAUUCAUAGUGCAACAAAAAGAAUACAACACGUAAUAAAAAAUAAAUAAGAAGAAAAGUGCAAACAAGUUUAAAAAUUAUUGUACAAAUAUGGUGACAGCUGCAUUACCGCUGUUUACCAAUUGAAGGAUUAACACCCCGAUUACACUUUGGAAAACAUUGGAAUAUCAGUUACCCAAGGAGCACACACGUUGCGCCAAGCAAAAACGUCAAUUGGAUUAUUUUUGUUUGUUUCAUCGUCGCUCUAUACACUUACAUACGCCUGACUUGACUUGAAAAAUUUAUUUUGUUUUUCUGGUUCUCUUGUUUUGGAAUAAAAAUAAUUUGCUAGAAAUAUGAUAAAAACCUUCAAAAGCAAAAAAUGUGUAACAAAACAAACCAAUGAAAUUACAAAAAAACUUACAUCUCAAAUGACACAUUUGGAUUACUAAAGCUGUCAUUAAAUAAAAAAAAAAAACAACAAUAUAAAAAAAUUAUUCAAAAAGUAUAUAAUCUAAAAUACAAAAUUCAACAAUUCAACACCUGGAUCGUCAAAAUACCACCUCCCUUCCUCCAUUUUUUUUUUUAAAUUAAAUUUAAUUAAUUUUUUCGAGUUUUUGAGAGUAGUGUCCCUAAUUUAGGGGACACAUCUCAAAUCAAUAACCAUAGCGAUCAUAGUACGUGUAGAGCCCUCCGGUAACCCGCAGGAAACUGCGGGACCACAGAGCCCAAAAAAACUGGUUACACCAACAACACAGCAACAGCAGCAGCAACAACAACAAAAUAAUAAUACAGCUGCUGUUGGUGGUGUACAACAACAGUCACCGCUGUCAGUUAAUAAGGUACGUUCAAGGAUUUGUCUACACACAUACAUAUUUAUAUGGUAUAUAUAAAAAUAGAGAAAACCAAGAAGUGUCAAUAGAUGUUGAACGACUAUACUUAGUCCUAUCGCGACGACGACGACGUUACCAACAAAAAAGGUUUCCUUCAAGUGUUGUUAUAACGUUUGGUUAGGAUGAAAAGUUUUAUAUAUUUUCUUUCUCUCUUUCACACUCACUUACUCACUCACUCACUUGUGUGACAUAGAUCAGCGUCGGUCGUAAGUUUUAUACUUCUGCACGCUUUGCAUGUUGUUAAUGCCGCACAGCACCGCACCGCAACGGUAUAGGGUUAUAAAACGGUGUCUUAUUACCAACGCGCCACUAACUUGAAUGUGUGAACACACUUAAAGCGAUUUGCAAAAGUGCUAAUCCACAUCUCAGCACCUUUUCUUCGCUUCGACGACAACGUCAACGUCAACGACGACGACGUUAACGUCGACUUUUAUACGGUAGCGCGAGUAUAACGACUCGCAACAAGAAGGAACCCAACACUUAGUUUUUUUUUUUUUUGUAUUUUGCCAUCAAGUUCUAAAUUCUGAAGGGCGGGCCGUAGUAGCAGGGCAACCUAUACACUAUAUAGGUACAAGCUAUUUUAUGUCGAGUCAGUUGGAGUGUUAAAACGGUAGGAACACGGAGUUAAAUGUCAAACUUGGAGUGUGCUUUGUAUAUGCCAAACAAACAGUCAUUAUGAUUACACCAACUUCGCUUCGGGGUUUAUGUGUGUGUAGCUUCGUUUUUUUUUUAAUGUUGCCUCUGAGCUCCUCGCGGCUUGUUGAACACCCACUCGAGGAUUUUAUUGUUUGAUUGUGUCAACACCGCGCCCUGGAACCUCUGCAUGUUUUGUUGGCGUAUAAAAUUACGUACAUACAUGUGUAGGUAUAAUGUAUAUCCCUUGGGCUACGACGACAGCGACGACGACUACACAGUGCUGCCAACAAAAAUAAAACUUUGUAGGAGGUACUAUAAACGAUGAUUAAUUAGACAAAGUGUUGACCUUUUUAUUUAAUAUAUUUUUUUUCUUUUGUUUGUUGUGUGCUCUUUGCGGAAUUAAUUAAGUUAAUUCCUUUUAUUCCUGUUUUAACAAAAAAUUAAUUAUGUUUCUUUUUUUAUAUAAAAGCAAGCAAACAAAAAAAAAGAAAUAUCCUUAAUCUGGUGUUGUCCUGAAUGUUCUUAUGAAACAUGAACAGAACACUCCCUACCACCGACACGAUGAUGUUGCCAUCGUCGCUCGUCGUCGACAACGUCACAAAUUGCAAAAGAAUAGAAAAUUCCAUGUAAGAGGAUUAGCUAGGUCUUGAAAUUCUCGUAAAAAUUGAAUUAUGAAAAUCAACGUAUCCUGACAAUUUUAUUGGUUAGAGGGGGGGUGGAAUAAAAACAUCUAAGAGGGAUUUAUUAUAAUGGGCAACUAUAUAAUAGAAGUAAAAAAAGUAAAAAAAAAUUCGUAAAAAUGUUAAAACUUUCAAAUAUAAGACCUUUUAAUUUGGGUUAUAAAACAGUUGAUAGGUUCCAACAUGUGUUACCUCUCAUUUGUUUACAACUUAAGCUAAGGGUACGAUUACUUAAUCGACACUCAUUUGCUUUGACAUCAGUUUUU